UACGAAGGGGGCUAGCGUUGUUCGGAAUCACUGGGCGUAAAGCGCACGUAGGCGGAUGUGCCAGUCAGGGGUGAAAUCCCGGAGCUCAACUUCGGAACUGCCUCUGAUACAGCACGUCUUGAGUCCGGAAGAGGUGGGUGGAAUUCCUAGUGUAGAGGUGAAAUUCGUAGAUAUCGGGAGGAACACCUGUGGCGAAAGCGGCUCUCUAGUACGGUACUGACGCUGAGACGCGAAAGCGUGGGGAGCGAACAGG
rnacentral:rRNA from 1 species